UGGUGACAAAAAGAAGUAUGCUAAUUUCAGCUCCAUUCCAAACACUACAUGACAUCAAUGCUUGUUAGCGGACAAGGAUAAAACUGGGUUGGUUACAAGCAUUGUCUCUGGCAUGAGAUCUAAGGUACAACUGACCUUGGCUCUACAUCAUUCAGUGAUAUCUUGCAAGAUGAUAAAUAUCCCAAAAGCAGGCCACCCCCUUCCACCUCCCACGGAUUGCUGUCGUCCAUCCCACAGGGGCCUGUAUUCCAGUUCUGCUGAGCAGGAUCCUUCCAGAUGAAAGAGACCUGCCUAGGAGGGGAAAACCCUGUGUCCUAGUGCA